rnacentral:rRNA from 1 species
UCCAGACUCCUACGGGAGGCAGCAGUGGGGGAUAUUGCACAAUGGGGGGAACCCUGAUGCAGCGACGCCGCGUGGGUGAAGGAGCGUUUCGGCGCGUAAAGCCCUCUCGGCAGGGAAGAAGGAGGACGGUACCUGACUAAGAAGCCCCGGCUAACUACGUGCCAGCAGCCGCGGUAAUACGUAGGGGGCAAGCGUUAUCCGGAUUUACUGGGUGUAAAGGGGGCGCAGACGGCAGCGCAAGCCAGGAGUGAAAGCCCGGGGCCCAACCCCGGGACUGCUCUUGGAACUGCGCGGCUGGAGUGCAGGAGGGGCAGGCGGAAUUCCUGGUGUAGCGGUGAAAUGCGUAGAUAUCAGGAGGAACACCGGUGGCGAGGGCGGCCUGCUGGACUGCGACUGACGUUGAGGCCCGAAAGCGUGGGGAGCAAACAGGAUUAGAUACCCCUGUAC